CCCGGCGCAGGGAUCUGGUCGCGCCGCGGGGUCGGUGGCCCGGGUGGGGGCCCGGGUGUUGGGGUCCUCUGAACCGCAGGCAUGGGCCGGGCACGAGAAGUCACCCAGGUACUCCGACGGGAAGGCUAACAGCACUAGCCUCAAGAAG